UGGAAAAAUGGUGUACUUACGUCUUUCCACGAUUGAAACAACAUGCCUUCUAAUGUUUAUUUAUGUUUAUUUAGUGUUGUAACUAGUAGGAAGAGAUUAUCGGUUCACGUGCCGCUUGAACUGAGGCGCUACAGCGAUCUGUCUCGACACAUUAAAGAGCCACAAAACGCGCGUCAAAUUAGCACACAGUGGAUUCGUGUUACAAAAGACUCGGCCAGCAAAAAAACUUGGAGACAACCUGAUGGGGCUUUUUGUGGCUGUGGGGGCAGGACACUUCAGAUUCUAGACAGCAUUUGAUUGGACAGAAGAUCUGAUGAGAAGCUGAAGUCCGCGGUGAUGUCAUGAAAAUCCAUGAUCCAUUUUAGCGGAAGUGAGAGACGGUAAGUUUUCAAUGCUUAUAUCUCCUAAAUGCGAAUUUUGUCAUUGUUUUGGAACACACCAGCUUAUUCAUAACCUUAAGACUAACAUAUUCAUACUGAAAGCUAAACAACUUCAGUUUUGAUUUCAGGGGGACUUUAAGAAGUAUGAUAUACAGAAUAAGUCAAACAUACAGUUACUUGUGUGUGUGUAUUACAUUUCAAAACAAACAUUACAUUACAUACAAGAAGUUACAUUUCAAGGCUUUGGUCAUUUUUGACCGUGAAGGAGCCUAGUGUGACCACUAAAUGAAGAGGAUGACUCUUUAUUGAACUUGGAUUGUGUGUGUUAGUCUACUCUACGCGUUACAGAUAUUGAAUCAUAUUGAAAAAAAAAAAAA